AAGAGGCUCUCUCCUUCUGGGUCUUGGGUGCCAAAGACCAUUAAGCCUGAAGUUUCCAGAAGCCACUUUGCUAUAUCAUGGAGAAAGCCUCCCAACUCACCCACCCAGAGCAAAGACGAGCAGAGAGACUGCCUUGAGGAAACCAGUAAGCCCACAGAUCCAGCUUUACCAGAAGUCGUUUUCACUUGUACUUGCCAGGCAAGAACUGAUUCUAUAUGAAAGGAGGCCAGACGACAGCUUGAACGAGAUUUCCACUUCUAUUUAUGAGCUGCAGAAUGAAGAAAGCAGUUUGACAGAUUCCCUUAGCUUCCAGCACGAUCAUAUGGUUGCAGGAAAGAAUGUCCACCUGCCUUCUUUGAAUAGAAAGAAGCUAUCAAAAUAUUUUUUCAGAGAAAAGUGGGGCAAACAGAAAACAUAAUUUAAAAGUCUUCCUGGAGACUGGAACAGUGCUCACCAUUCCCCUCUACACGUCCAGAGCUUCAGGAACGAGUGACUUCAGGGGCCACGUGACAAACAUGCAAAGCAUCUAUCUACAAGUUGUGCCAAGGUCAGGAUCCUGUCUGGUGUCGAGAAUCGCCGUUCUAAUUUGUUGAUGCCACACCCUGUGACCUUCCAUAGUCCGCACUUCAGCAUAUAGCCCAGCAAAGGAGAAAGAAAAGGCUUGCAAGUUACACAAGCUUUUGUGGACAUUUUCCAACUAAUUGUAUGUGGAUAAAGGGGGAAAAUCCAAAAACCUCGCCUUGUAAAAUGUUUUGGGAGGGCAGGCAGCAGAUGAGAACAUGAGUCAGUUUACCCCAGGCUGUGCGGGAGCGUGGGAGGAAGAACAGCUUUUCUUUGUUCCCGGAGAUGAUCUUUCUUGAUAACUGUUGUGAAUCACUUUAUGACUGUUUUAGAACCUUGUUAAGUUAAACGUAUUGGUAAAACUUAUGCUCAAGUAAACUUUGCGUUAUGUAACUUCAAGCCUUUUAACAGAAAGCAGCUGUAUCAGGAAGCAGCCAUGAAUUUGGUCUUGCAUGUGUUAUGGAAGCUGAGGGACUAUUUGAUGUAAAUUAAGGAUAAUACAAGACAUGGUCUCGAAGGGCAUUGAGCCAGGGUUAACAGAGGUGGUGCAGCACCUAGGAAAGCCCCUUCUAAUUGGAAGAAGACCACCACUGGGAGAUUUCACACUAGCACUUACACAAACUUAUUUUGAUCUCUCUCUCUCUCUUCUCUACCUCCCCUCACAUCCUUUUAUCCCUCUCUCUGUCCUUCAAAUUUAUUUUUGGCUACUUCUUUAAUAAAAAGAUUUAGGAAGUUGUAUUUCUGAUGGUAACACAAAGAAAGCAACUAACACUGCUGCAUUAAUUUCUACACAAAUGGAAGGGUGUGCGGUCCAGGGAAGGGUGUCAGCAAAAAAUUGGCCAGAGAUUCUUAGUUUAGAAGGUAUCAGUUCUAAAGCAAAAUAUUCAAAGUAAUUGAGUAAAUGCUGGCUGACAGCAGACUCAGGAGUUAAGUUGCCUGGUUUGGAAUCAUGACUCUGUACUGUCCAGCUGUGUGACCUUUGGCAAGUUACAUAAGUCUCCGAGCCUCGCCUGUGAACCGAGCACAAUAAUGGUAGCCAUCUAGAAAACUGAUGUGAGCAUUAAAUCAGUUAUUACCAGUAACAUACUUAGAACGGUGCCAGGCACAUGGUAAGAGCUCAGUAAACGUUAGCUAUUUCCAGGAUCCAGACAGAACCUCAGGAUUUGUCUCAGCAGUGAUUAUUAAUAGUUUAGAUUUAGAGAACAAAGCUUCCACUGAACCAGGAGGUUUAUACUUUAAAAACCAGAUGUGUCUGGGUAUGUCACCACAGGAGCAGGAAUAGAAUUUCCCACCCCAAAAUAUGCCUCUUUGGCAUAAGGACUAUUUUGAGUUGAUGAUUAUUAAGAAACAAUAAACACAGGAAAAGCUCUGAAAACCUAGUAGAAGUUACUCUUUUGUGAGGGAAAUUUGUGUUUAUAAGAGAAAUCUCCAUUUGUCCGGGUGCCUCCCUCUCUGUGCCAGGAAGAGGAGGAUGACUUUAAAUCUCUAGAAACUCUUAUCAAUGGAGAAGGCAGUGACUUAAAUCUGCAUACCAACUUUACCUUUGUACCUUUCCUGGUCUCCUCCCGUAUCUGACCCCAUCCUAAUAGGAUGUUAAAGCUAUUUUUCAGGGGUUGUGAGCCAGCAAAGAGCAUGUGCAGAAGAUAAAAUUUUGACCUGCCAAUCAAAACUCAUCCUGCCAGUGCUUCUGCAUACCAGCCAGUCUUCCUUAAUCCCUUGAACUUUAUCCCAAACCUUGGAUGGGCAAGACAGAUUUGAGAGCUUGCCCUCCUGUCUCCUUGCUGGUCAACCUCACAAUAAAGCCUUUCUUCCUUCAUAAGCUGGUGUGCCACCUUGUCAGCUUCUGUGCACAUCCAGUGGUGAACCCUUAAUAGGUGGAUUCUUUGAUGUAAUUAAUAGGAUUUAUUAACCUUAUAUUUGUUUUUAAAAAUAAUUAUACUUAUACAAUUAAAACGUGCAUAACAGAAAAGAAAGCAUAGUAUGUAGCCUCCCUUUUCUUCUCUUUUCUGUUAACCCACUCCAAUGGAAAUCUGAUUUUCAGAUCAUGAAAUAUUAUCAAAACCCUAGUGUGAACAGGUAUCUCAGAGAGAAUAAAUCACUUCUUUGUGUCAUUAAAGACCCCAAAACAUGAGGGUAAAAUUUUAAUGAUAGAUUAUGAUUUGCCUGUUCAGGUGUGUGGCUAAGAAAAAGGUCAAGGUUGAAUUGAUAAUCCUUCCAUGUCCAGCAUAUAGAGGAUUUCCGGCCAUCACCUCAAGUGUCUGAGGCUGUUUGCAACCCAGCUUCCUUGGCUUAAAGUUCAAUUAAAGCUCUGAUUCGAACAGCCUCCCAUCCUGGUCCGUGGAAUACAGAUGGCUUUCUCCAAGCACAGUUAUGUCAGAGUGUCUGGCACCGUCUGGAAAGAUCCUCUUGGGUCACGGUCAUCUUUGUUACAGUUCUGUUAGUUAUUUUUACUAGAUUAUCUCCUCUUUUGUACUUACAAUUAUCCCAUUUCAGCUUCCAAUGGACAGUAGUCUUCUUAUGGAGGGUGAUUCUAUUCCAGCUGGUGCAUUCUUGUUACAAUAAACAUAGCCCCAAUUGGUAGAUGGGGAAUCCACCAGGAUUACCUUAUAAAUGACCUUUGCCUGUCACUUGAUAUUCAGUAGGUGUCCUGGGUGGUAGCGAUGAAACCACAUGCAGGCUGAAGUGGAUAUUGAUGCAUCCAAGUCUGACCUCAAUAAAAGGCGUUGAGUGAACACCACUAACUUGUAAUACUUUAAGUCUGACAGGGAACUUUACGCAACAUUUACAAACUUUGCCAAGUUCUGUUUAAAUACAUUUCUUCUAAUUAAACCCUAUUCAACAUAGAUUCUGGCACAAAGCCUUUUGAAAGAAUCAGAAUACAACGUGUUUCUAGCUAAUAGCAGAUGGACUGUAGUUUGUAACAAAAAUUAAUGCUGGUUUUAAGUUCUGAAGAACUUACGGUGGUUUCUCUAGAAAUGUAGGUCUAUUAUUCCACUUGUUAUCAGAUGUAUUUGCAGUCUAUGGCUGUGGUCAUUCAGCAAACUAGGGCUUACGGACCAAAUUCACCCUAUUGCUUUUUUUGGCAGAAAAAGUUUUGUGAAACACGGCCAUGCUUAUUCGUUUCCAUAUUAUCUGAGGCUGUUUCACAUUACAAUGCCAGAGUCCAGUUGUUGCAACCGCGACCUGUGGCUCACAAAGCCUAAAAUAUUUACUAGCUGAUCCCUCACAGAAAAAGCUUGCCCAGUCCCUGGGCUACAGCAAAAUGCCUCACAAUGGAGCAGGCAAAGACUCGCCAAAGUGUACAAGUGCUCUGAAAGUUUUCGGAAAAUUGCUUUCCAAAUUCUCGUGGACUUUCCUAAAGGCCAUCUUUAGAAAGCCUCAGAGUUCACACUAGCCCUUCUCAGGAAGGAAGGAAGGCAGGCAAAGGAAGGCAG
ensembl:lncRNA